CAUAGCUGACAAUGAACUUUUGGAAAAAGUAAAAAAGGUAUCUGAAAGUACAACCCUUGAGGACCUUGAGAUGACAACGGCACCUCUGCUUGACUACUUGGCCAAUGCAGGAUGUCUGAGGCCUAUGCGCUCUAUAAGAGACAGGGAUUUGCUGGUACAUGACAUUGUCAUGUUCCAGAUCAUCCACAGGGUUCAAGGUCCAUUUCAAAGAUUCUGUGAAGGACUGAAAACGCUUGGGGUUCUGGAGAAAAUCC